AAUGCGUUCGAUCCAAAGCUGUCCCAUUUUCUCUAGACAUUGGACAUUAUAAAAGGGGCCUAAAGGCCAAGAAUAUAGCUCUCUGUCCCGCUUUACUCCAAUAUGGACAAGUUCGUGAGCAAUCCAUGGAACCCAUCAAAGAGUCCUAGCAGCCAUGAGAUUGAGAUGGUGGACUUGAGCCAAGAAUCUCCGGCCAAUAAUAUCACGAAUGAACAGGAAAUCAUCAAGAGACUAAGUUGUGGAGCAAACCAGCUGGAAGCAUUAGCAAUAAUCCCCAGCAAGAAGAGC
rnacentral:misc_RNA from 1 species